AUGAUGACAGUACGGGAACUCCCGGACAGUUAACCUGGACUAGACUACCACAAGGCUUCAAAAACUCUCCUACUCUGUUUAAUGAAGCCUUAAAUCAGGACCUGGACUCGUUUUCGCUGGAGCCAUGAUUCAGCUACACUCCUGCAAUACGUAAAUUACUUGCUUCUGGCAGCCCCCACUGAGGCCAAAUGCCGACAGGCCACUGGAGACCUCCUCCAGGAGCUGGAACAAUUGGGCUAUCAGGCCAGUGCAAAGAAAGUCCAAAUAUGCAGGCAGACAGUCACUUACCUGGGGUAUAAAUUGAAGGAAGGAACCAGAUGGUUAACAGAGGCCAUGAAAGAGCCUAUUCUUAGGCUUCCAGUCCCGACCUCGGCCGGGAAGGUCCGUGAGUUUCUAGGGACAGCGGGCUACUGCCGGCUAUGGAUUCUGGGGUAUGCUGAGAUAGCGAAGCCCCUGUAUGAGGCAACCAACGAUAAGGCCCCCUGGGCCUGGGGGCCAAAACAGCAAAAGGCCUUUGACGAACCUCUUAAAGACACCAGUCCUAGCAUUGCCAGACCCCCUGAAAUCUUUCACCCUCUUUGUCGAUGAGAGGAAGGGGAUAGGGAAAGGGGUACUGAUGCAGUGCCUGGGGCCAUGGAAGCGUCCGGUCCGGUGACCUACUUAUCCAAGAAACUAGACCCAGUCGCAUCAGGAUGGCCCCAGUGCCUGAGGAUCAUCGCGGCGGGAGCCCUGAUGGUAAAGGACACAGACAAACUCACUUUCGGGCAGCUUCUGAAGGUGGUAACUCCCCAUGCCAUCGAGGGAGUCCUGAAGCAUCCCCCUGGUAGGUGGAUGACCAAGGCCGGCCUGACCCAUUACCAAGGACUCCUGUUAGAUGCACCCCGGAUCAUCUUUGCCGAACCAACUGCACUGAAUCCAGCCACCCUGCUGCCGACCCCGGAUCUGGAAGGCCCCCUGCGUGACUGCCAGGAGAUCAUGACAGAAAUCACCCAGGUGCGCCCCCACCUCCAGGACACCACCCUUCCCAACAGUGAGUUGAUAUGGUACACUGAUGAAAGCAGCUUCGUUAUGGACGGGGUGCGAAAGGCGGGUGCAGCGGUAGUGGGCCAAGACGGGAAUGUCAUUUGGAGUGCCUCACUUCCCCCGGGACCUCAGCCCAGAAGGCCGAACUGAUUGCGCUGGCGGAGGCACUGGAACUGGCCGAGGGGAAACGAGUGACUGUCUACACCAAUAGCCGCUACGCUUUCGGCAUUGUCCAUAUGCAUGGCGCCAUCUACCGGGAGAGGGGCUUUGUUACAGCGGAAGGAAGAACUGCGCAAUCUCCCAGAGGUACAGAGCCUGCUAGCAGCCGUGCAGAAGCCCGGGGCAGUUAGUUGCAGUUGUCCACGUCCCUGGACACCAGUCUGCCUGGACCUCGGAGACUGAAGAAAACCGGCCAGCGGAUGAGGCCGCCAAAAAGGCGGCAGUAACUUCACCAACUUUGGCACUCGCCCUGCCCACACCCAAGCUCCCACGCCUGCCCCUGCGACCUGACUACAUCCUAGAGGAUCUGCAGUGGAUCCAGAACCACCACUACCCAAAGCCUGAUCAGCAUGGGUGGCAUCGGGACCCAGAGGAAAGACUGAUAACUGCCGGCAAAACUAGGACUGUUCCUCCUUUCCAACCUGCACCAAGCCACCCAUUUAGGGAAGAGAAAAUUGCUGACAGUUCCCGAGUCCGCCCGCCUCCCCUGGUUGUUCCCCUGACAAACAACCCAGAUCCAGGAGAUCGUGGAUCAGUGUGUUGGGUGCCAGGCUAUGAAACCCAGUAGGAAGGGACCCCUACGCACAGGUUGACAGCAUUGGACUUGGGUUCACCACUCCCAUGUACGCCGGGCCACCCCGCCAGAGCAGAGACAAGCCAGGGAGUGGACUGUGCGAUAACACCCUGAUAAACCCCUGAAGCUACAACUCUCCACACCUCAGGGAUGCCCCACAUCUCCAGCCCAGUCUGACGAUGAAGUGGCUGCUGGUCCUGACCCUGCUCAACAACUGGAAAAGGAACCUCGCAGAAGCCAAUCCUUACCGGCCUUACAAGCAGACAUGGAUCCUGAGUAAUGGAGAGACUGGUAGGACUCUCAACGAAACCACCCGCGUGGCCCCACUAUCCACAUGGUGGCCAGACUUAACCUUCUGCUUCAGAGACAUCAACCCUGAUUACAAGUCCACGGCACCCAAUUUAGCCCGUAGCUAUGGAUUCUAUGCCUGCCCGGGACACUCUAAGGACCCACAUUGUGGGGGGGUCCAAUAUUCCUUCUGUAAGAGUUGGGCCUGUGUCACCUCUAAUGAUGGGGAUUGGAGGUGGCCAGUUUCACGACCAGACUCUCUUCAAUUGGCCUUUGUUAAUCAAGGAAAGCCUAGAGGGGCGACUGUGCCUCUCCUUCAAGGUCCUUGUUCCCCUCAGGACUCAGACAGGAUCCGAGUUCAGUUCACUGACCAGGGAAAACAGGAAGGGGUUAACAAUUGGAUUCAAGGAAAACAGUGGGGAGUAGUGUUCUACAAAUAUGGGGGACAUGUGGGAUCCACUAUUGUUGUCAGAUUAAAGGUUGAGGCAGUACAGAAGACUAGUACUCCGGUAGGUCCAAAUAGGGUGUUUGCUCCUCCAGGCGGGCGAAAGGCUCCUCCCGCUCCUUCCGCCCCUACCAAGAACCCAGGUAACAAAAACCUCACAAAUGGGACCACAAGACCCCAGACUAACACCUCUGUAAUCUCCCCGGCACUUACUACACAGGCCACCAAGGACUCCUUGUGAAAACUAAUGCAUUCUAUGAAUGAGACCCUUAACGCCACGAGCCCUAACCUCACGGCCUCGUGCUGAUUAUGUUAUGAUGUGAAGCCUCCAUUUUAUGAAGCAGUAGGGCUAAAUGUCACCUAUAAUGUAUCAUCAAAUGAGAAUCCCUCUCAAUGUUCAUUGGGGGGGACCGUAAAAUCCGUCUAACCCUGCAGCAAGUGAGUGGUAAUGGAACCUGCCUAGGGAAAGUGUCACAGGUUAAAUGAAGUCUUUGCACUUCCAUAGAUAACACCCCUAGAUGGAAAGAUGGCCCAAAGUGGCUAAUCCCAGAAAAUAAUGGAUGGUGGAUAUGUUCAAAGACUGGCCUCGCCGCGUGCCUCUCAACCUCGGUCUUUAAUGCCUCUGAGGAAUUCUGUGUCCUGGUGACUGUGAUGUCCUCCAUCCUCUACCACCCCAAGGAAUGCAUGUAUUCUCAUUGGAAUAGAGGCACAAGUGAGAGACGUAAGAGAGAGCCCAUCACUGCACUAACUGUUGCUACCCUGUUCAGCUCAAGAGUGAGUAGCUGGGGUCAGGACCGGCAUAACCUUCCUGGUUACUCAAUGAGCAGGAAUGACAUCCCUGAGGGUGUCCAUAGAUGAGGAUCUAGAAAGAAUAGAGACCUCCAUAAGUCAAUUAGAAAAAUCUCUCACCUCCCUGUACAAGGUAGUACCCCAGAAUAGAAGAGGGCUUGAUUUGUUCCUCCAACAAGGGGAACUAUGUGCCACGUUAGGAGAAGAGUGCUGCUUUUAUGUUGACCACUUGGGGGUAAUAAAAGAAUCUAUGGCUAAGGGAGGGGAGGGUUAGCCAGGAGAAAGAGGGAAAAGGAGGCACAGGAAAACUGGUUCGAGGCUUGGUUUAAUAGGUCCCCCUGGGUCACCACCCUAGUCUCUACCUUAGUUGGCCCAUUUGUUUUGCUUGUGUUUAUUUUAACUUUUGGCGCUUGCAUUUUGAAUAGGCUUGUUAAUUUUAUAAAAAAUCAUGUUAAUACCGUCCAACUCAUGGUCUUGAGACAACAGGAUAAGAGUUUGCCCGCUUCUGGGGACCCCUCCAACUUCCCCAUAAAUGAGCAGGAUUCCUCAUUAUACACAACUAAAGGGGGGUAUGUAAGUGGGUUAGCAUUAGAAUGGCCAUCUUAAGGACCGGGAAGCCAUUUUACUGAGCGACCUGGCUGAAACUGCAUAGGUAACUUUGAGAAGAGAGAAACUAGCUAAAACCUGAAAAACAACUUAAUCAUAAACGACCAGGUUGUGGCGCAAUUCUGUUUGGAAAAGAGCUUAUCUUGUUAAACCACCAGGUUGUGGCGCAAGCCAAAAAUAUGUAACUAUGGGAAAUUACUGUGAGUUAGAUGUUUUGAAAAUGCUAUAUAAACCCUUGUUUUUGAGCGCUCUGGGUUCUUGUUGAAACCCGCCACGUCGGGCAGAUACUUGGACCCCAGCUAGCUGGAAAUAAACUUCACUGUGUGACUUGCA